GGGUCUGUCCAUUGGUCGGGCUUUACGGUCCGUACUGGUGAGAUGGGUUCCUACCUUCUGAAUAACCGGCAUGCCAUUCAGUUGGUGCGCCGGGGAAGCAGAGCUAUUACCUUGAAAAAAUUAGAGUGCUUAAAGCAGGCUAUUGCUUGAAUAGAUUAGCAUGGAAUAAUAAAAUAGGACGGCAUGGUCCUAUUUUGUUGGUUUCUAGGAUCACCGUA
rnacentral:rRNA from 1 species